AAACAUCACUGCACCAGAUGGAAAUGGAACAGUAACUCACACAGUCUCAUCUCUCACUGCUGGGACUAAAUACACAUUCACUCUCUUCUAUGUGUCUGACAACGUCAGAUACAGUAGAGUACAACUUACAGCUGUUACUGCUCCUCUAAAUGCUGCAAACUUCACAUCAUCAGGAAAAAAUCCGAACAGUAUCACUCUGCAGUGGAAUAAAGUGAACAACAACAUCAGCUUUGUUCUCAGUGUUAAUGGCACAGAAA